UGGCUCAGUUGGUAGAGCAUUGGAACUUUCAACACAAGGGUUGUGGGUUCGAUUCCCAC
rnacentral:tRNA from 1 species